GCCGGCUGAAGGGGGAGAGGGGCGCGGAGAGAGCCCCUGCAGCCCACGGGCCCUGCUGCGGCCUGGGCGCAGCGCAAGGCAGAGCACGGUGAUGGCCCUGCUCUGCCCCUGUCCCGGCCUCUGCCAGCCCUCUGCCUCUGCCAGCCCUCUGCCUCUGCCAGCCCUCUGCCUCUCCCAGCACUCUGCCUCUCCCAGCCCUCUGCCUCUGCCAGCCCUGCUCAGCUCCGAAAGGCUCACAGGCUGGGCUCCGCCAGGACACACUCGCUCGAGUACAGGAGAACGUGCUCAAACAUCGCCUUGAGCACAGGCAGCAAGGAGACAGGUGAAGGCUGUAUUUCUGCCUGUCUCAUCCCAGCCCACAGGACCCUCGGUCAGCUCAGGGAGCACCGGCUCACUCUCAGCCCAGAGUUCAAGAUGAAACAAUGUAAUCCUUUGAAGGUGGAAUCAAUUGGCAAAUCAGGAGCCAGCUCUGUGAACUGGAGUAGAUGGGAAGAGUGCCACCCGUUUGAAAAUGAGCAACACCAGACUCUGACAAGCACUCCUGUCUGAGGGAUCUUUCAAGCAUAAAAGCCUGCUUGAUUCUCUACCAAUUCCUGGGGGGCUGACUGGAGAGAAGGGGACAUCGGGACACUGCUUCAGUUCACUUCCACUGAGAAGCAGAUCUUUGGAGAGUGCUGGAACCAAAAUAAAUUUUAACAGCAUCUAAAGACUAGGCCCA
rnacentral:lncRNA from 1 species